CUCGUCACCACAACUUGGGAUAGAGGGAUCCACACGUAUCACUUCACAUAUGUAAAUUAGCAAGUAACUGAAGCUUUUUUUUCUGGGUACAAUUACCCCUAAUAUUUAUCUGCAUACAAGGUUACAAAAAAUUCAUACACAUGCAUAUUUUACAUAUUUCUAAGAAACCCAAUUCAGGUCCAAGCAGUAAGCAAUUUUUACCUUCUUUAAAUAUUUAUUUUUGGGGCUUCAUGUUAUCUAUAUAAUGGAAAAAUCCUUUAAGAACCGAGUAACUGAAUCACUGCAGUCCUGUUACAUGCACACACUUACACCAUUUCAUUUUAUUCAUAUGCACAGGUACCAAGAGAUGGGUACACACUAAUGUUCGCAUGCAAGACAAAGAACAGGUUGCAAAGCAGGUAGACACACAAACAGUGUCCAAAACAGUAUGGCAGGUAAGGCAAGAAGAACCUAGCCUCAUAAAAGCAGUGCUUCCCCAAAGGUGUGGGGGGCCAGUUCAUUCCCCCACACUCUGGAAAGGUCACUGAAUUCAAGGCACUUUCACACACCUGGGGCAUCCUCCUCCCUCUGUCCCCACCCUCCAUCAGUUAGGGGACAGAGCUCUUCACGUAACUUGCUGUGUGACAGUGACACAUGGAUGCAGAGGCAGGUUAUAGUACCUUGAACAAUACCACCCACCAGUUGGGGGGGGGGGAAUGCAACCUAUAUGCUACCAUGCAAUAGAUCCCCCCCACAAAAAAAAAAAAAGCCCCUGCCACCCAUAAAACUCCUCCAACCCUCCCUACCAAAAUGAACAGCAGACUGGUUAACUUUCUGAAGUGAUGCCCUCUCCCUUGCUGCCAUUGUCUUGGCUGUCUUUUAUAGUUUUUUUCUGAAGCUGAAAAUAAGAAUUAAAGCCCCACCCAGCCAGGUGAAAGUUAGAGCCAUUCAAAGAAAUAAAAGCCUGGGCUUAAAAUGGAUGCAGCAGAAUCUUUUAAAGAGCAACAUGUUGCAACCACCUUUCAUGCGAGGGAAGGGAGGGAAUGACUGGCAGGCUGGGAGCCGGGGAGCCGAGGGGGGCGGCUGCAGCAAAAGCAGCUCGAGGAAGGGGGAGGGGGGUGAAAAAUAUCGCCUCCCCCCCCGGAAGAAGGGUGCGAGGGCGGGAGGGGGCCGCUUGGCCCGGGUUCCUCGGCAGGAGGCUGCUUCCCAGCGGCGGAGGGGAGGAGGAGAAGGAGAGAAAGACACACGCACAGGAGAGAGAGGAGAGGAGAAAAAGAAAAUGGCGCAGAGACUAAGUCCCGACCGUCGACAAGGCGACUUUCCAGAUAACCUGCUGAGAAACAGUCAUGCCAAUUAUACUGGAAGUCAAUAGUCGUUGUGCGCUGUGACCAGUGGGGUCCCUCAAAGCUCUGUCCUUGGACCUAUACUACUCAACAUCUUCAUUAAUGAUGUGGACAUUGGUCUCAGAAGCAGACUGGCCGAGUUCACUUAUGACACCAAACUCUGGGGUAAAGUAUCCACACCUGAGGACAGGAGGGCGAUCCAGGCUGAUCUUGACAGGCUCAGGAAAUGGGCGGACAAGAACCCAGUGGUGUUUAACACCAAAAAAAAUGCAAGGUUCUCCACCUUGGGGAGAAAAACCU
ensembl:lncRNA